GAUGAACGCUGGCGGCGUGCCUAAUACAUGCAAGUCGAGCGAACAGAUAAGGCGCUUGCUCCUUUGACGUUAGCGGCGGACGGGUGAGUAACACGUGGGUAACCUACCUAUAAGACUGGAAUAACUCCGGGAAACCGGGGCUAAUGCCGGAUAACAUUUAGAACCGCAUGGUUCUAAAGUGAAUGUUGGUUUUGCUUUCACUUAUAGAUGGCCCCGCGCCGUAUUAGCUAGUUGGUAAGGUAACGGCUUACCAAGGCAACGAUACGUAGCCGACCUGAGAGGGUGAUCGGCCACACUGGAACUGAGACACGGUCCAGACUCCUACGGGAGGCAGCAGUAGGGAAUCUUCCGCAAUGGGCGAAAGCCUGACGGAGCAACGCCGCGUGAGUGAUGAAGGGCUUCGGAUCGUAAAACUCUGUUAUUAGGGAAGAACAAAUGUGUAAGUAACUGUGCACGUCUUGACGGUACCUAAUCAGAAAGCCACGGCUAACUACGUG
rnacentral:rRNA from 1 species